rnacentral:rRNA from 1 species
UGGGGAAUAUUGGACAAUGGGCGAAAGCCUGACCCAGCCAUGCCGCGUGAGUGAUGAAGGCCCUAGGGUUGUAAAGCUCUUUUAACGGGGCAGAUAAUGACGGUACCCGUAGAAUAAGCCCCGGCUAACUUCGUGCCAGCAGCCGCGGUAAUACGAAGGGGGCUAGCGUUGCUCGGAAUCACUGGGCGUAAAGCGCACGUAGGCGGACUCUUAAGUCGGUGGUGAAAGCCUGGAGCUCAACUCCAGAACUGCCUUCGAUACUGGGAGUCUCGAGUGCGGGAGAGGUGAGUGGAACUGCGUGUGUAGAGGUGAAAUUCGUAGAUAUUCGCAAGAACACCAGUGGCGAAGGCGGCUCACUGGCCCGAUACUGACGCUGAGGUGCGAAAGCGUGGGGAGCAAACA